UUGUUAACAUGACUCUACAGGCUUUUGGAUAACAAUAACUUAUCGGGAUAUCUUCCACCAGAAUUCUCCAAGUUACACAGUUUGGAAAUACUGCAACUUGAUAACAAUAAUUUCAGCGGGAAUGGAAUUCCUUCUACCUAUGAAAAUUUACCCAGGCUUGUAAAAUUGAGUCUGAGAAAUUGCAGCCUGCAAGGAGCUAUUCCCGAUUUAAAUUCAAUACCAAGUCUUAAAUAUUUGGAUCUUAGCUGGAAUCAGUUCACUGGGUCUAUACCGUCAAAUAAUCUUUCAACCAAUAUGACAACUGUUGAUUUGUCCCAUAACAAACUCAACGGAUCAAUUCCCCGAGGCGGAAUAUAUCCUUAUCUUCAAAGAUUGUGAGAAUAUACUCGUCAA